CAGCAGUCGCCGCGGUAAUACGGAGGGUGCAAGCGUUAUCCGGAUUUAUUGGGUUUAAAGGGUCCGUAGGCGGACUUAUAAGUCAGUGGUGAAAGCCUGUCGCUUAACGAUAGAACUGCCAUUGAUACUGUAAGUCUUGAGUAUAUUUGAGGUAGCUGGAAUAAGUAGUGUAGCGGUGAAAUGCAUAGAUAUUACUUAGAACACCAAUUGCGAAGGCAGGUUACCAAGAUAUAACUGACGCUGAGGGACGAAAGCGUGGGUAGCGAACAGGAUUAGAUACCCCGGUAGUCCCUGUCUCUUAUAC
rnacentral:rRNA from 1 species